UUUAUGCUCUUGUAAAAUGGGAUUGUUUUCUUUAUUUCUCCUUCAGAUAUUUUGUUAGUGCAACUAAAUUUCAUGUUGAUUUUGUGUCCUGGGAUUGGAUAAAGAGUAAAAUGGAGAGACACAUACUUCUUUUAUAUUGAUAACACUCCGAAGACCUCGGGAAGGAAUGUGCGUGUGUACAGAACCCCUGACAUCUGGAAGAUCUCCCUCUCAGCCAUUCCAGAAGCUGAGGUGCAGGACGGAUCCUUCCCCGGAAUGUACAUUUUACCAUUCUUACUACAAUCUUAAAGAAUGGUAAAAGGUGUGCACCCUCCACUUGUGUUCUGGAUCCUACAACCUCUUACCUUAUAUACCAACUAUCAUUCUCUUCUAUGUUUCCAACUUCUCCUCCUGAGCAUACACUCAUGCGUGUUUUGCAUCUUUAAACAAAGAAGCAAACUUGAUCCUAUUCUCCACUUUACUGUUUUGGGUGUCCUCUUCUGGCCCGAGCCAACCCUCGAACAGAACAGGUAAUUUCUGUAUCGCCAUUCUCACAUGUCAGAGUUCCUCACAUGACAGUACCUCACCCAUCCUACUGAAACUCCUCCUCCAAAGUCACCACGGCCAGAUUCAAUGGAUACUUUUCAGGCGCCUCUUUCUUAUUGAAUAUAAAGAAAUUGAAGCCCAGAGGAGCUGAGUAACUUGUCCAAGGCAUGAUGGGUGUUAAGCAACAAAGUCAGACCCGAACUAAGAACAAGUAGAAAGUGUCGACAGAGUGUAAAUAAAUCUGGAGGCUCCACUAAAAUGAAAUGACAAAGUUUUAUUCAAGAAGCUCAAGACUUGCAAAUCUGUCAACACUACCAG